rnacentral:rRNA from 1 species
AUGGAUUGUAACCUCAAAACAAUUUUUUGGAAUGUCCGUGGUCUUAACUCUGGCGCUAAGCGCACCCCCAUCUGCAGCGUGAUCUCCGCUGCCGCGCCUACCAUAGUGUGUCUCCAAGAGACAAAGCUCGCUCAUGUCUCCGACGCCAUUGUCUUGGACACGCUCGGUCCGUCCUUUGAGGACUAUUUCUUCCUCCCCACGGAUGGCACACACGAUGGCAUCCUCCUUGCUUGGCAACGCUCUACCAUCUCCCUCUCCAAUCCCCUCAUCGGCGAGCACCAUGUUAUGGCCUUGGUCUCUUCCUUGGCCGACAAGGGCCAUUGGUGGCUCACUAGGGUGUACGGGCCACAAGAUGAUGACGCCAAGCUUGAGUUCCUUGCUGAGUUACAUGACGUGCGCGAGUCCCCCAUCGGCCCAUGGAUUAUUGUUGGAGAUUUCAACAUGAUCACCUCGGCCUCGGAGAAGAACAACUCGAACAUCAACCGUCGCACCUUGAACAGAUUCACACGCUUCAUCGUUGACGAGGAGCUUCGCGAUCUCUAUAUGCACGGCCGAUGA